CUGCUCACUUUGGCAGCACAUAUACUAAAACUGGGACAUACAGAGAAGAUUAGCACGGCCCCUGUGCAAGGAUGACACGUAAAUUCAAGAAACGUUCUAUAUUUUU
ensembl:snRNA U6 U6 spliceosomal RNA